AGUAGGGGACGCUAUGACCGUAUCAUCGUGCGCCGGCGCCUUCCACUGCUACCGCCACCAUGGAAUCCAACAGGGACGAAGCGGAGCGUUGUAUUGCUAUCGCGGUAGCCGCAAUCAAGGCCAAUCAGACUGAGAAGGCCCGCCGUUUCCUGGAGAAGGCCCAGCGGCUGUACCCGUCUCAGCGGGUCCGCGCGCUGUUGGACUCACUCACCAAGAACAAGCAGUCAGCUGAUGACCAUUCUCAGCCCAAGGAAUCGUCCAACCUCGGCAGUCAAAAAAGGACCGAGGAUUUUGCUUCGGCCAACGGAGAAGCAGGGGGUGAUACCAGCAAAGGUUACACUCAGGAUCAAGUGGACGCUGUGAAGAGGGUGAAACAAUGCAAAGACUAUUACGAAAUUCUGGGUGUCAACAGGGAUGCCUCUGAUGAGGAUCUGAAAAAGGCCUACCGGAAAUUAGCUCUAAAAUUUCAUCCUGAUAAAAAUCAUGCACCAGGUGCCACGGAAGCAUUUAAAGCCAUUGGGAAUGCGUAUGCAGUCCUGAGCAAUCCAGAGAAAAGGAAGCAGUAUGAUCAGUUUGGAGAUGCCAAAGUCAGCUCUACGCGACAUGGUCAUACAGAUUUUAACCGAGGCUUUGAGGCAGACAUUUCCCCGGAAGAUCUCUUCAAUAUGUUUUUUGGUGGUGGUUUUCCCUCUAGCUCCACCUUUAAUAGAGAGCCCAAAGGAAGAAGACGCCGCGAUUACAACAUCUCGGUCCGCAACAGAAAGCCUCCGAGAGUGGUGGAGCCUACCUGGAGAGACCGCCAGGGAGAAUCGCGUAAUGUACACAUAUAUAGCAAUGGCAGGAUGCGAUAUACCUACCACCAGCGGCAAGACCGACGAGAACAUCAAGGCGAUGGUGGCCUUGGGCUCUUUGUCCAGCUGAUGCCUAUCCUCAUUCUCAUCAUUGUGUCUGCCCUCAGCCAGAUGAUGGUCUCCAGCCCACCUUACAGUUUGAGUCACAGGCCGUCUGUUGGCCAUGUAUUUAAACGAACGACUGAGCAUUUGAAAGUGUCUUACUAUGUAGGUGACAGCUUUGCGGAAGAAUACACAGGCACAAAUCUUAAAAAUGUAGAAAGGAGCGUGGAAGAUGAUUAUAUUGCAAACCUCAGAAAUAACUGUUGGAAAGAAAAACAGCAGAAGGAAGGCUUACUUUACCGGGCACGUUAUUUUGGUGAUUCAGAUCUAUAUCAGAGAGCACAAAAGAUGGGCACACCCAGCUGUACCAGACUGUCUGAAGUUCAAGCAUCAAUGCAUGGAUAGCCGUUGCAGAAACAGUCCAUAGAGACCUAAGUUUGACUUGAAUUUCAGGCGAACCAUCCCAGCCACAGCUAACCUUCCUUGACUCUUCAAAUGCCUGAAGAUUUUGGGGGAAGUGCACUGAGCCAAGAAGACAGACUUUCUAUUUAAAGAAUCAGUUCUUAAAUUAAAAUGGCAUUGGAGUAUUAACAACGCACAACUACCCUCUCUUCUCUUUCUCUGCCCAGCGUUAGACUUGAACAUCUCUUAAGGAGGGAAAAGACGGCUGGUCUUUUUUUAUUUUUUUUCCUCCCCUCUCUCCUCUCCCAUCCUCCAAAGGAUCCCCUUCCCCUGGGAACAGUUGUCGAGUUGCUUUGGUUUCCUUUCAAGAUCUGCCGAAAAUCAGGAGCAGUGGAGAAAGUUCUGCAAUUGCACUAGUCACUUCAGAGAGCAAGGGAGGAACCUGAAGAGCUAGAAAUUUAAACAAAAUUAAUUUUAAAAGACACUAUUUAGAAUUUAACUUAGCAUUGUAAAUAUGUUGUACUUCUAAACUAUGCAGGGAUAGAAUUAAAUUAUUUCGUUCUUUUUCUUUUUCUUGUUUCUUUUCGUUUUUUUUGCUGAACUUCAUAAUCCAGUAUCUCUGAAUUCUAGCUUUUUUUUUCCCCCUGCCUGGGCCCUCACUUCCUUUUUUGGCCCAAGGGCCUGUUUUCUAUCAAUGGCAAUCUUCUCUGACAAUACAAAUGUUUUAUAUUUUAUAAUGGCUUGGACUUUCUGGGGGGGGGGGGGGCGCGAAGUAAAUUCACAGACCCUGAAACUGUUUCCUUUUUUAAAAUGUGAAAUAUUGAGCCCAAUAGAUAUAUUUUCUAUGGACACAUUCUGACCCAGUUUUGGAUUUGCAAUGUACGGCGGCUUUUACUGAACGACUCGUUCUUCCUAAUAAAUGGAGAACAAAUUGUCUCAAAACGAUCUUCAGUUCACCAAGAUGGCUUUUGCUGUGUGGACUUUUUUUUUUUGUUAGGUUUUGCAGACUUUUCACUUUUUGCCUUGCAAUCGGGGUUCGUUCUGCUACCCAGAGGCGUGCUAUUGUUUUUCCCUCAAGGGAUGUCUCCUUCUGUCUUUUCCCCUGCUUCCCCACCAGAUUUCCUCUUGCUCUACAAAAUAGUAUUUUUUUUGACAAAAUGUUGCUGCUGAUUUCAUUCCAGGAACCUGCUAUGUGCUGGCGGGGCCUAUCAAGUAGUGAUGCAGUUAUGUACUUUUCCAUUUGGUGCGGCUUGGAUGGCCCUUCUCUAUAGAGCAGGGGUGUCCAACCUUGGCAACUGUAAGACUUGUGGUUGGGACUUCUGGGAGUUGAAGUCCACAAGUCUUAAAAGUUGCCAAAUGUGAGACCCCCUGCUCUAGAGCAAUGAAAGGCUGUGCAGCAACAGUGCUUGUAUAUUCUGGUGACAAUCUUCCUCAGAGAACGGGACUCUUAUGUUCCCUUCCUCAGGAAAACAGGCCAUCUUUAUCCAACAAGAUUUUGCUACUUUCCAUUAUUUAAGCAACUGAAAGAGGCAAAGAAUAAUUCUUAUUACUUGACUGGGCUGUGAAGUCUAACUUUCAUUUGAAAAAAAAAAUGCUACAUGAUGCCAGACUUUUUUAAUCUUUUAAGUCCACACAAUGCUGUCAGAAGAGCCUUAAGAGAAGUUACUUCAAAGAGCUGAGCCAUUCACCAGAGUUAACAGUUAAUGCUCCUAGUUCCAAUAAGCCUCAUCAUCUUGAAUUAGCAGUAAUCUGAAGAUGCUUCCACUCCUGCAAGAAGUUUUGCGUUUUCAUUAGUCAAACAAGGAUUCCUUUUACAGGCCUGGAUCAACUCCUACUAUCAAAGCAAAUCAGUACUCAGGAUCAGAGUAAUAUGUUAAGAAAUGACUUAGUUAUGUCAAGGAAGUAGCAUUACCGUUAAUUACUUCACACUGGAAUCUUCUUUAAGUUGCUGUUAGUUUUGUCCAGAAAGUUUUAUAUUAUUUAGUUGGCAAAUGUCCAUCUAAAGACUUGUUCAGAAUUGUUCAAGUACCAAAUAAGAGCUGAUGGAUUGGGGAUGGUCUAAUAAUUGUGUCAUUUCUUUGGCAUUGACAAAUGGAUGCUGAUUUGAACAGAGUUUUUCCUGUCAUAAGCAGCCAUCUUGAUGGACAGAUCCGUUCCAUUUGUCUGCAGUCCCAAGGAGAUGUCUCCACCUUCCACUGUCCCCGGAGAGCAGAUCAAAACCUCAACCCUGUUGAUUAGCAUUCAGUGAUCCCUCCAGCCAUUUUGAAGGAUCGCUUGUCCAGCUGCGCAGCACAAAAUGACCAGCUUCUGAGAUGGCAACACGAGCCCCAGGCCAUAACAAUCAGAUCUUUUUGAUUUUCUUAAGUAGAUAGCCGGGGAUGAAUGAGCAACGUGCAAUAAAAAGCAUAGGUCUUGAAAGAUAUUGAAGAAGGCUGUAUUUCUUAAUUAUAUAAUUGUACAUCUAUAAAUAAAGAUUUAUAACAUGAAA